rnacentral:rRNA from 1 species
AACGAACGCUGGCGGCAUGCCUAACACAUGCAAGUCGAACGAGAUCUUCGGGUCUAGUGGCGCACGGGUGCGUAACGCGUGGGAAUCUGCCCUUUGGUUCGGAAUAACAGUUGGAAACGACUGCUAAUACCGGAAGAUGACGAAAGUCCAAAGAUUUAUCGCCAGAGGAUGAGCCCGCGUAGGAUUAGCUAGUUGGUGUGGUAAAGGCGCACCAAGGCGACGAUCCUUAGCUGGUCUGAGAGGAUGAUCAGCCACACUGGGACUGAGACACGGCCCAGACUCCUACGGGAGGCAGCAGUGGGGAAUAUUGGACAAUGGGCGAAAGCCUGAUCCAGCAAUGCCGCGUGAGUGAUGAAGGCCCUAGGGUUGUAAAGCUCUUUUACCCGGGAUGAUAAUGACAGUACCGGGAGAAUAAGCUCCGGCUAACUCCGUGCCAGCCGCCGCGGUAA